UACGUAGGGUGCAAGCGUUGUCCGGAAUUAUUGGGCGUAAAGAGCUCGUAGGCGGUUUGUCGCGUCUGCUGUGAAAACCCGAGGCUCAACCUCGGGCCUGCAGUGGGUACGGGCAGACUAGAGUGCGGUAGGGGAGAUUGGAAUUCCUGGUGUAGCGGUGGAAUGCGCAGAUAUCAGGAGAAACACCGAUGGCGAAGGCAGAUCUCUGGGCCGUAACUGACGCUGAGGAGCGAAAGCGUGGGGAGCGAACAGG
rnacentral:rRNA from 1 species